rnacentral:lncRNA from 1 species
UGUCUUGGAGUUCUUUGCCCAAUUAGACAAACCUUCUUGAAAUUAUAGGCAUUGUUUUUUUGUCUUUGUUUUUGUUUCUCCUAAAGCAGAUGACACAGUGCUGUUUAUGUUGGCCAGCACCCAAUAAGCAAAUAAUGGGAAAUUGAUUAUUGAUUAUUUCCUCAUUCCCAAGUGAAAAGGAGAAAGGUAUCUCUAUUGGAGAUGAACGCAUGUUCAAUACACGUGGCCUGCCUGAGUCAUUAGCAAAGUGUCCAACAACUCUGAGGCGUAUCCUCAAAUGAAGCCUUGUCUCUGUGAAAUUCCUGGUAAGAGAAGUUGAGGCAUCAAUAGUGGAUCAGGAGAUAAAUCGUCAUUUUAUGGAAUGCCACAGGAAGAAGUUUUCUUUACAAGUUCUGAAGACUUGUGAUGAAUGAGUCCAUAGUUUCACCUUUGAAAAUGUCCCUGGGAGUGUCAACCCCAUCACUUUUACUUAUAUUACACUCAUAAUCAGUUCAUCUCGCCAAGAAAAAUAAUAUUAUCCUCAUGCCCAAACUUGUGACUUGAUUUGAAAACCAGUAAAUCAGAAAUAAAACUUCCCAUGUGUUUUUUUCCUACAUGAAUCCAAGUGACUCAGAUAUUGUGUUAUUCAAUAAGACUAUUACCAUGACUCAGGUAAAAGGGCCGUUUAUAUUUUCUGAAGUCUCAAGUCUAGGGUCCAAAAUAAAACUAGCAUCUUUUAUAGAAUAAUUUUUCUCUAAAAUGAAAUGUGUAUGU